UCCGGAAAGGAUUGGACUGCGACUUGGCUUGGCCCGAGACCAGAAGGGAGGGAGGGGGAAGGUGAACGUGGGCUCAGCCCAUGCAGGAAUGUGGGAGAGAGGGAGAGAAUGGGCCAGAUAGAUAAGGCCGAGAGAGAAAAAGAAUAUGGAAUUGGGAUGGGAAAAGAAGUCUCUGUCCAAGAGAGUUCCUUUCGGAUUUUCCUUCAUUAAUCAUCUAAUUCUCAGGGAAAACCACAGGUAAGGCCAAAUCGACAAACGAACUGAAGGGAAAACUAUAGGAAAUUUUAAACCUAAGCUGGUUUUUAAUUGACCUGUUUUAUUUAUUUCUUUCCGCUAGCUAAGUUCUGGAAAAACUGAAAAUAGGUUGUAACAGUCAAAGUCAACGGUGUCGAGGAAACGAAAACGGAGAAUCAUCAAAGAAGUCUUGUGCUAAACUGGUAACAUAUAUGAUCUUGCAACGCGUAUUAUUGUUGGUCUUUGUUAUUCAACCUCUGGUUAUGAGCAAGAUUGGAGCACCUUUUAGUCUAUCCGUAUGAGAAAAAGGAACCCGCUAGAGUACAAGAGGUGGAAGGAUUUGACAUACGUUCAAUAUAACCAGAAGAUUGCAAGAAGGUCUGCACAGCAGCAUGAACUAGGAACCAAACUUAACCCUUUGAUUGUAGCAGACUUUCAGUGGGGACAAUGACUGGGUUGACAUGGGUGCUGAAGAAGUUCAUCCCAGGAACGAUCUUUCAUGUGCUCUCAGGCUGAUGAAGAUGCCAGUGCAUCACAUAUGCUUCAAGGUCACAAUAUUCCUUCUAGGAGAACGGAUGGUGAGGUGAUCGGCUAUGGUGGAGUUGGAAGUUCUGCACUAAAGAUUGACCGAUGAGCUAGAUUCAGGCAACAAAGAAGAUGAACCUUUUGUGGUUGACGACGAAGAUGCUGAGGAUGAUUAUGGCCCGGCUCCACCUGCUAGUCGUACUGAAGAGAGUGAUGAUGAUUAUAGUGAUAUGGAUGAUUAUUUUCCUUUCUUAAGAAGUAUCGCACUGAUGGUUCUUCGGAGUCGGCAGAUGAUAUUUGAGAGUUGAUGCCCCUGCACCUGGUGGUGAAACGGUGGCGUGCUAAUAGCCCUUUUAAUAGUCUUCGAGAACGUUGGUGCUCUGGUGGUAUGGCACUUUUGGUGUACAUUAAUUAUCUUGUUACUUGGUCUUAACUUUUGUCUACUUGCAAUAUUGUUGUGGUAUUGCGUGUUCCAGAUUUGCUGCUUUGCAAGCUGUUCUAAUUGGUGGCCUGAUUGUUGCCUGCUAGACCAAUUUUCGAUCAAUGUCUUUCUCAGUCCGUUGUGAUGAAACCUGAAAUCUACAUGUCCCACUUUAUCUGCAUCAAGAGACCCCUGUCUCUUUGGCAUCAUCUAGAAGCUGGGGCAAGGUUGGCUCAAAAAAUAUUUCAGGAACAAAUGACACUACCGCUGCCUUGCAAUUGAGCCUGAAGGAUGAGCAUGCCACCUUUUUCUGCAUCAUCAGGAACAAAAUGACACUACCGCUUCUAUGUUCUUUUUUCAUCGGUUCUUCUUGCAGCUAGAGAGGGCAUAGUUCUUGUCACAUAAAUCGUAUCUUGCAAUGCAUGGUCAUUGACGAGUGCUGUAUCGCUGUAACGAGUGACAAGAGGCUGUAAGUUUUUCUCUCUUUUUUUCCGACCUGGAUCUUGUAUAUGAUGAUUCCAUUAUCGUGUUGAUGCAGCCAAAUUACUGGCCA